ACGCUACGGCGGCUAUACAUGCAGUCGAGCGGUACAUUGAAGCUUGCUUCAAUGACGAGCGGCAAACGGGUGCAUAACACGUAUCUAACCUACCCCUAACAAGAAGAUAGCCCAUGGAAACGUGGAUUAAUAUUCUAUAAUACUAGAGUGGCAUCACUCGAAGUUAAAAGAUCCGUCGGUUAGGGAUGGAGAUGCGUCCUAUUAGCUAGUUGGUGAGGUAAUGGCUCACCUAAGCUCCGAUAGGUAGGGGUCCUGAGAGGGAGAUCCCCCACACUGGUACUGAGACACGGACCAGACUUCUACGGAAGGCAGCAGUAAGGAAUAUUGGACAAUGGAGGCAACUCUGAUCCAGCCAUGCCGCGUGAAGGAAGACGGCCUUAUGGGUUGUAAACUUCUUUUAUACAGGAAGAAACCUUUCCACGUGUGGAAAGCUGACGGUACUGUAAGAAUAAGGAUCGGCUAACUCCGUGCCAGCAGCCGCGGUAAUACGGAGGAUCCAAGCGUUAUCCGGAAUUAUUGGGUUUCAAGGGUCCGUAGGCGGGCUAUUAAGUCAGAGGUGAAAGUUUGCAGCUCAACGGUAAAAUUGGCUUUGAUACUG
rnacentral:rRNA from 1 species